rnacentral:pre_miRNA from 1 species
AUGUAGGGCAAUCUGUCUUUAAGUAGGAGUAAAUUACUUUAAAAAAAAAAAGAAUCCAAGAUAGUUUUCCCUUUAAAUCAAGUAUCUUGU